rnacentral:rRNA from 1 species
AUGCGGACAACACAGGAAGAUAUCAAUCCCAAAAUGAGGGCGUUCCUAGUGGACUGGCUGGUGUACGUGGCUUUGACAUUCAGGCUUCCUGCUGACACACUUCACCUUGCAGUUUCAUAUGUCGAUCGCUUCCUCACAGCAAAUGUCAUUAGCCAGGACAAGCUGCAAUUACUUGGUGUGACCGCAUUGAUUGUUGCUGCGAAAUAUGAAGAUGGCAUAUUUGUGCAUGAGGUUCGAAGAUACAGGAACGUUGCUGCCAACACGUACACCAGGCAGCAGGUGGUGAAGAUGGAGUCUGACAUACUGAAAUCUCUUAACUUUGAGAUGGGGAGUCCCACUGCAAGAACUUUUCUACGGAGAUACAUAACUGUUUGCCGCGGACGUGAUCGUGCAAAAGCGAAGAGGCUGGAGUUUCUGUGCAGCUACCUUGCAGAAUUGAGCUUGCUGGACUAUGACUGCAUAAAGUUCAAUCCAUCAGUUGUUGCUGCUGCCUGCCUUUUUUUGGCCAGGUUCACAAUCAGCCCAACUGCCCGUCCUUGGAACCUGACGCUGCAAAGGAACACGAAAUACAAGGUCUCUGAUCUCAAGUCUUGCAUCUUGAUGAUACGCAAAUUGCAGUUGAAUGGAACGUAUCCGGGCCUGAAAGGAGAGGCCAUCAAAGUCAAGUAUAAUGAUCGCGAGGUAAGAUGCGCUUUCCCCAGUUUUUUGGCUUUUGCAUGCGUGCUUUUUUUUUGA